UGCUGCAUAGAGCCCUUCAUAGUAGAUAGCGUUUGUGUUGCCAGUUGUUACGCACUUGGUGAAAAACUCUCGAAACUGACCACCAGUGCAGAUUUGACAUGUUGCAAAGGUGACCAUUGGCUGAACAUUACACUUCCUUAAGACGGAGGGUUCGUGGACAAGUGCAUAACCGCGUUUCCCAGCCCGCAAAAUACCACCAAGGUAGUAGAAUGAAUCCGCUCCCACCAUCUCUAUUAUUUUACACAAAAUUUCUUCUGGAAGAUUGGGGAUGUUUAGAGAUGCCAUACUAUUGAGUUCUAUUGGAGAUGUUUAUCAGAAGCAUUGAAUAUGUAUAUAUAGAAUAAAGAAAUAAACAAAGGAGUUUUAUGAGUUACUAGGAAAGUUAUUGUCCUCUCCCACAUUUUGUACCUAACACUCAGAGAAAUAGUUAUUCCAAUC
rnacentral:lncRNA from 1 species